rnacentral:tRNA from 1 species
GGGGAUGUGGCUCAAGUGGUAGUGCGCUCGCCUAGCGUGCGUGAGGCACUGGGUUCAAUUCCCAGCACCA